UGGGGAAUAUUGCACAAUGGGCGCAAGCCUGAUGCAGCCAUGCCGCGUGUGUGAAGAAGGCCUUCGGGUUGUAAAGCACUUUCAGCGAGGAGGAAGGUGGUGAGCUUAAUACGCUCAUCAAUUGACGUUACUCGCAGAAGAAGCACCGGCUAACUCCGUGCCAGCAGCCGCGGUAAUACGGAGGGUGCAAGCGUUAAUCGGAAUUACUGGGCGUAAAGCGCACGCAGGCGAUUUGUUAAGUCAGAUGUGAAAUCCCCGGGCUCAACCUGGGAACUGCAUUUGAAACUGGCAAGCUAGAGUCUCGUAGAGGGGGGUAGAAUUCCAGGUGUAGCGGUGAAAUGCGUAGAGAUCUGGAGGAAUACCGGUGGCGAAGGCGGCCCCCCUGGACGAAGACUGACGCUCAGGUGCGAAAGCGUGGGGCAGCAAACAGGAUUAGAUACCCUGGUAGUCCAGCGCUGUAAAACGAUGUCGAUUUGGAGGUUGUGCCCUUGAGGCGUGGCUUCCGGAGCUAACGCGUUAAAUCGACCGCCU
rnacentral:rRNA from 1 species